rnacentral:tmRNA from 1 species
GGGGGCGUACCGGUUUCGACGGGGAGCUGAUCAGACUCGAGGUUGCGUGCCGGUUCCAUACGACACAUGGAAAACCUGAAAACUGCCAACGACAACUUGGCCCUCGCGGCCUAACUAACCGCGACGUUACACCGGUGAGCCCUGAUCUGCGACUGCCGGCGUAGCGACACACAAGCAGAUCGAAGGGCUCGCGGAGGCUCCGCGACGAGCCCGGAUCAAAAGCGGAGCUGGCCAGUCGGGUCGGGUGCCUUCCACCAUCCCCCGGCGGCGAGACAAAAAUGAGAAGGCUACGCACGUAGACGCUUCAGGCUGGGCUUUCUGGACGUGGGUUCGACUCCCACCGCCUCCACCA